ACUAUGGUUGCGGUUAUGAAGCGUGGCCAAAAGGUUAUUGAACAAUAAAACCCUUAUGACCCAUACAAAGCUUCGAUCCGGAUCUCCUCCUCGCUCUUUAUUGAACAAACAAACCCUCGUCACUCUCAACUCUCAACUCUCAACUCUCAACUCUCAUCUCCAUGGCAACCUUGGAAGAGGGCAGAUCCCCGCUGUGCCAUUAGCCUCGUCACUAGCGUCGUCACUAGCGCCGAUCUCCUCUGCAUCUUCCUGCCACCAUGCCCUAACCCUCACCAUUGCCUUCCUUGUCAUCGCGCUGCUACAUCCCCUCCACCGCGCCUCCACCGCGCCUCCGCCGCGCCUUUGCUACAUCCCUCGUUCGUGUUUGCCUUGAUUUUCCCUGCUGGUGCAUUCGUCUCUGCUGGGCAUCCCCUUUCAAUCUCUCUCUCUCUCUCUCUUGGAAUAGCUCCACAAGAUCCCAGCCCCUUCAAUUUUGAUACAAAGACUGCAGGGAAAGCCAGUCACGUGAAGAGGGAGGAUAGUUGUCAGGUAGUUGCUAAACAAAGAACAAGUAAAAAAGGUGUGACAACAGAAGUUUAAGAAGGGAGAAAAGCCCCUGCUGAGGGGUGUGUGUGAUAUUCACAAAGCUAGUCGGUUUUGCCACUGAACUGAUCUGUAAAGAACUCCAAGCACUGAAACCACUUCUUAGCCAGGGACAACCACACUAUUACUAACAUGGAUGAAUUGAAGCUGAAGUUGUAUGUACGAAUAUAGUAUUAUGAAUCUUUGCUGGCAGAGGCAAAAAGUAAAGUGGACAAUUCUGUCUCUGAAGUAGUUGAGAAAGCUGUAACUUCUUGAUUGCAGGACAUCCAAGAUAAACCGAAAAAGUGUACAGAAGAGAGAAAUGGUGUUGCUGAGGUGAGGAAGGAAGUUUGAGGGCUAAAGGAAGGAGGAACAGCAAGGGUUUAAGUUGUAUUGUUCCUGUAUUUUUCUUUAGCUUUUAGUUUUGAAAUUUGAACUCGAGAUUUAUUUUGUAUUUGAGUAUUAGUUUUCUAAUGUAUAAAACAAUUAUAGCAAAAGUCGUCACUAAUAACUGUUUAAUUUGUCUUGUAAUAAAAAUUGUAUAUUAUAUUUAUAGGUUUGGUAAUAAAAAAAGACUGAAAAUUUAUAUUGUG